GACGAACGCUGGCGGCGUGCUUAACACAUGCAAGUCGAACGAAGAGCGAUGGACGCUUGCUUCUAUCAAUCUUAGUGGCGAACGGGUGUGUAACGUGUAAUCAACCUGCCCUUCAGAGGGGGACAACAGUUGGAAACGACUGCUAAUACCGCAUACGAUCUAACCUCGGCAUCGAGGAUAGAUGAAAGGUGGCCUCUACAUGUAAGCUAUCACUGAAGGAGGGGAUUGCGUCUGAUUAGCUAGUUGUAGGGGUAACGGCCCACCAAGGCGAUGAUCAGUAGCCGGUCUGAGAGGAUGAACGGCCACAUUGGGACUGAGACACGGCCCAGACUCCUACGGGAGGCAGCAGUGGGGAAUCUUCCGCAAUGGACGAAAGUCUGACGGAGCAACGCCGCGUGAGUGAUGACGGCCUUCGGGUUGUAAAGCUCUGUUAAUCGGGACGAAAGGCCUUCUUGCGAAUAGUUAGAAGGAUUGACGGUACCGGAAUAGAAAGCCACGGCUAACUACGUG
rnacentral:rRNA from 1 species